UGGGGAAUCUUCCGCAAUGGACGAAAGUCUGACGGAGCAACGCCGCGUGAGUGAAGACGGCCUUCGGGUUGUAAAGCUCUGUGAUCCGGGACGAAAGAGCCUGAGGUGAAUAGCCUAAGGAAGUGACGGUACCGGAAAAGCAAGCCACGGCUAACUACGUGCCAGCAGCCGCGGUAAUACGUAGGUGGCAAGCGUUGUCCGGAAUUAUUGGGCGUAAAGCGCGCGCAGGCGGCUUCCUAAGUCCAUCUUUAAAGUGCGGGGCUUAACCCCGUGAUGGGAUGGAAACUGGGAAGCUGGAGUCUCGGAGAGGAAAGUGGAAUUCCUAGUGUAGCGGUGAAAUGCGUAGAGAUUAGGAAGAACACCGGUGGCGAAGGCGACUUUCUGGACGAAAACUGCCGCUGAGGCGCGAAAGCGUGGGGAGCAAACAGG
rnacentral:rRNA from 1 species